rnacentral:lncRNA from 1 species
GCAAGUAUUUGAGGUGGACGAAUUUGCUAGGUAGUGUUGGCGUACUGAUCAUCUGCACAAACAUGCCUCAAAUUAAUUGUAAUGACUAUUGUGACAGCAAAUAGCUAGUCCAUACAAUCAUGUAAACUUCUCAAGCAUACCUCAUUAUUUGAGGUUAUGCUAAGGGUUUCAUUAUUUGAGGUUAUGCCAUACAUCGGUCACAAUAAGAGUACAGAAAACGAUGGGAUACAACAAGCACAAGCAAUCUGACGUGCACCCCAGAUUACAUAGAUCUCAUUUGGCAUAUUCCGUUAGAUUAUUAUCGCGGGAGGUUGAAACUUGGAAAACAUAUUGCAAAAGAAUUUACAAUUAGGCCAAACUAUUUUCCUAAUAUGUGUUUUUAGUUUUUACAUAAGGCUGGGUGUAAUUUAACAGGACUUUCCACUAGCUUAGGGAAAGUUUGUUCAAAGGGCUCUCAUCUUUCACUUAACAUCCUUGGUGGAUGCUGGCCCCUCUCAUACUAGAAACUCAAUCAAUCUUCAGUGUUUCUCAGGGUGCUAUGCAGAAGACGAGCAACCAAGCUGCAAACAGCCUGGUGGAUGGGAGACGAAAUAAAUUGACUAUACUCGGAGCAUAAGCUACACUACUGCACUAAAAACAUGUUUGAUAUGAGAUGCGGACUAAGGGUAUGAUUGAUGAACACGUUUGCAUAUCGGAAAUUCAGAACUCGGAACAAGCACAUCAGAUGCAGAUUAGGAGUAGGAAUUCAGAUUACUUUAUUGCUGCUGGUCUAACAAGUAGACUCGAGGUGUCCAGCCAGAAGCCGGGCAGCGACUCAUAGACUGUCAAAGGACUUGUUGAGUCACGGAGGGUCAAAGGAGUGCUCGAGGUAGGUAACCCUUGAAUUGCCACCAACGACCCCCUGCUACAAACACCAACUCCUCUCCCUUUCCUCGAUGCACAUGCCGCCACCGCAGUGCCCCGCCAACACCAACACCUCCCCAGCACUAACCCUCAAAAGUCGCUGCCUGGAUGAGCAGCGGCGAGAGUGCCCGCGGCUGCCCGUCUUGGAGCAAGGUGAAAUCUUAGGCGGGCGGAGCGCCUGGCUUAACCGUGAAGCCGCAGCUGCGCCUAGCGCUUAGGGACACACUUGCAAGUUGCAAUCUCUUGAAACUUUCUGGCAGAUUAACUCUCUUCCAAGGAGAAAUCCACAUUGGCACCCUUGAGCUAGCCUACUCGACUGCAAACCUUUCUUUUGUGCCCGAACAAAAAUAAACGGCAGUAGCCCGACUUAGAACUACCUAACUGAAUCAGCUUGCUCCGCCUUAAACACACAAAAACUUGAGUUUUUUUUACCCCUUUCCAACAUAUCUAACGGAUGUGAAAGAGAAAUACACCGACACAUACAUGAAUCGUGGAGGGAAAGAGAAAGGGGUUUAGGGUGUGUACCGUCCUGGAUUUGCCGGCGGUGAUGGUGCCGGUGCCGGUGCCGCUUCGUGGACAUGAGCCUCAUCUCUGCGCCAGAUCUAGCUUGAAACGACGCCUUGGAUCGAGAUGAACGCGAAAGUAUCCCGAAGCUCUUACUGAGGUCCAGGCAUCCGAUUACCGAGAGGCGGAGUAGGAGAUCGUGUCAGCUCCGGCGCCGCGCCAAAUCUGUGCGAGGAAGCUGGAUGGAGUUCGACUCCACUGCUGCGGAAAGAGAAAAAAUAAUCGAGUACGUGUGUAAACCUGGCUCUCUGCAUUAGUUGUUGGGUCUCUUGGCCCAGUGCAUCCGCGGUAUCUCAAAACGGGCUCCAACGUGGCCCAAUCCUUCUGUCUUCUCUUCGGGGCAAUUUGGCGGCUAUUUCUUAGCUACCAGAUUUGCCUUCCCUCAAAAAAAAAAAAAAAAACUACCAGAUUUGCCCUCUCAAAACAAAAUAAAAUACCGCUACACCGCCAGACAGCUCGACGGAACCCUAACCUUCAGGAACUGUCGAAUCAGCAUUUUAAUUUUGGUUCCCCUCAUCUCCAACCACCUACUUGGCUUCGGAUGAUGAGGGAAACCAUAGACCAGCGUUUGGUUGUAAUUUGUUUACAUAGUUUGUGAACUUUUGUCUCGACGACAUCUUGGUGGAGGAGACGAUGGCGUAUGGAAUAAUGGUCUCCGAGUUCCAUCUUCUUUCCAACGUAGUCAACACGAUCCACUCCAUGGAGCCGGCGAAUCUCGUGGUUUGUAUUUUUGUUAUUUUGGUCUUUUUCCUAGUCGUUUCGGCGAUGAAUCGGUGGUUCGACAACAUGUCUUGCAAUUGGUGUGUCCCUAGCCACAGUGUUUCAACGAUCUUAUGUUCUCCAUCGGUUGCGGUGAGCGAUUCAUACAGCUAUUCAAAACCUAUGAGGUUAGUUUAGCUUGUGCAGUUCUGAUCUUUUGCAAUUUCAUCAGCAGAGACAUGGAGAGUUUUUAAGAUACGGAACAAGACAUUUUUACUUCAAAGAAUCUUUAUGUAACUUUUAGUUUCAUUAGUUUUUUUUGUUGUUGAUUUUCGUUCCAAUUUCGGUGAGUUGUACUUUUAUUAAAUCGAUAAAGUCAGAUGUUUCUAAAAAACUACUGGAUUUGUGUGUCAGUUCAAACGCAACGAGAGGCUCGAAACAGAAUGCUGCAAAACCAGUAUCCGCACCAAGGAGUAGAAUCUUCGAGAAGAACAAUGCUCUCUCCCUGAAGUUAAGUUUGAUACGUUCAAUGAUAAAAUUAUCAACGACAUUUGUGCAUAUAUGUCAAGAACGUGGUAUCAUAUUAUGUCCCCAGAUAAUUACCAAUACAGCACAUCUGGCCAUAGUGCACUCAAACAACAACUGCGGCAAGGAUUCAUCUUUGUGCUACAAAAAUAGCAUCUUAGACUCCCAAGCCAUUGUCUUUUGGUAUAUGGAUAUGACCUCCCACUUGCACGGGGCAUUUCAUGCUUAACACUUUACGUUUCGGAUAAGCUAGCUAUCGCAUCGGCAUCAUUGAUUUGCAUGGGGUUAUCAAAUUUUGUUGAGUUCAUUUGAACCCAACGCUGAUGCCGCAGCUCUGCUCCUAUGGUCACGGUCUCACGGACGGAGCCAGGACCGGAGAAGACACAAUUGGAUACGUGUCGCUGUCGUGUACUAGAUUUUUUGAUGAUAUCUUUACGAUUCUUUAAUUUCAGUUACGCCUGUCUCCUCCCACAAAAUUCACCCAAAAUUACAAUCCAUGCCACCGCAACCGAAGGUCAAACAGCCACCCGAAUCUCCACACGUGGCCCAGCACAAAUCCCCCGUCUCUCGCAUCGCAUCUCAGCUUUGACGCUCGUUUCUGCCGGGUUGCCGCCGCCGCCGUCGCCAUUAGGCCCUUCCACCUAAACCUAAUCUCCUCUCGCCGCCAGGUCACCUCGAGAAGGAUGGAUGGCCGCCCCCAGUGUUCCAUGCCUCCUCCUUCGUCGCCACUCGCCGCGCGGUCCGAUCAUCCGUGCUUCUCCGGUCGGACCUCGGCAGAUCCACGCGGGCAGCGACCCUGUUCGUCGGCGGCGCAUCGAACCAUACGGUCCUCCGCAACCUCCCUGCCCUAUCUUUCUUCUAGAUCGUCGCCGCCGAACUGAAAGGCAAGUUCUGUUUUGAACGUUGGGUUGUUCCAUUGUAGAUUGGUGAAGCUGGUAGAUUAUAGACUGGGUUCUCCUAAUGAACAGGUUGAGAGCCAUCGCGGUUUGCCAAGCUAUACUGCAGAAUUUCAUCAGAUCACAAUGUUGUCUUUACAACGAAGUGAAAUUUGAAGCUUAAAAAAAUACAAAACACUAAACUGAAACAUGUUUUCUGUGCUCGAUUCUCAAAUUAUUGGGCCCUUUCCUGGCUUCACUAUUGAAUUACAAACACUGGUUUGCAUGAACCCCAAUAAGUACAUUGCCAAUGCCACAAUGUUUUCAGUGAUUUACCAUUUUUCCUUUGUUCAGGAGGAGCUUGAAAAACAGGGAUCUGUGCGUACUAUAUGAUGCUCCAAGAAGAAGGUGAGCAUGCCAGGAAAGACUUAGGUGAGGGUUUAGGAGAUGUUGUGUCAAUUAUUCUUUGAACUCCUCUUUCCAUGGUUUGUUCUGUACUUGAAACUAUCAGCCAUCUUAGAAACAUUAUUGGUGGUAAAACUUUUAUUGGCAUACAACACUUUACUCUGGCGAGAAUUGUUUGUGAGUUAUCAAACAGUCUUAUGCUUAAACAGAUAUGUAGUGAUUGAGUUACAUCUCAUUGUGAUUUAUUUAUUUUCCUUUUAGUUGUUAAACUUAUGCUGGUUGUCUCCUAAAGAACCUUUAAAUCUAUAUGGUAUACUUUUAUAGUUUGCAGUAUCAGAGAACCAAACUUAACAUGAUUAUCUAAAUGUUCUUUUUUUCUGAGAAUAAAUAAUAUCUUGUUGAUUUGAUAAAAAAAGAAUAACAUCAUGCUAGACAUCUCAAUUUCAAGACCUUGCUGCAGUUUAUAUCAACUAUAUCGCCAUGCUGGACUUUGGGAAAAUUGUUGAGUCUAAUGUAGGGGAAUUUGCAUCUCAGUUUCUCAAUUUUAGUUGGCCAAAAAAUUUGUUUGGGGUGUGCUAAGGAUGUAUUUGCAUCAGUUGAUCAGUGUUCUUAUUAAGCUGUUGUACAGGGAAACAUCAUAUACAAUUGUUAAUGUUUGAGUACAAAUUAAGGUAGAUCCAAUCUUUCGGGGUUUUUUUCUUCCGGAAGGAGUCUCUAUUGAGGAUGGUAAUUCCUUCCUCAUGUCAAAUUAGAUUACACUAACAAUUUUGUUUUUGCACCUCAACAAAGGUGUCAGCUGUUUGUAUUUAUGUCCAUCAGGUGAUUCGUCCAAACACUCAUCUCCGGAGUUCAAGAUCUAUUUAUUUUCUUUUCUUUCCUGUAGAUGAUAUCUAUCUUCUUUGCUUGUGUAGAAUAAAAAAGCAGGAAGGUAGUAAAAUGAUGGUUUGAUACAUGAUAGAUUUCAUAUAGAGGGUGCAAGAGCUACACUUUAACUUGGUAGCAGAAAGCUUAGGUUAUACUAUCUUGUUAGAGUUUUGCCUUCAAAAAAACAAGUAUCUUACCAUGAAUCCAAAAUUUCUUUCAAGCUGAGUUUUCUUGAUUGCUUUUUCGAUACAAAUGUUGAUAAGAGGGUACCAGCCUCUUCUAUAAUUUUUCAUAUGCUUGUUCUCUUUCACUCUAUCAUUUGUUCAUCAUAAGAUUAUUUAUAUUUUGGAGUCCUUGAUAUGGCUGUGAGUUAAGAAUAGAGACAGGGCAAUCAAAUAGAUCCUUCAUUAUAUGUUUUACCUUGUUUCUCCUGCAGGUAACUCAACUUUUGUCGUUUGUUGAUGUAGGCUUUUAGUUUGUAUAAGAGAAGUUUUACAAUGCCCUUUGAAACUUGCCUUUUUUUCCCCUUCUUUUCAGAGGAGGAGCUCGCUAAUUGUUGGGAAAAAAGAAUAAUUGUUUAUGGAUCUACAUUCGUUGUUGUUCAUCGUAGCAAAGUAUGGAUCAAUCCGAAGGUUCUCUUGUGUUAAUGCUGGUAGGCUACUAGAUGUAUUUUACAUUAUGGAUCAUCGCUUGCCAAGACUUGUAGUGUACCUAGCGAGCUUGGGAUUAACAUAUAGAAUCUGGCAUAAUUGGCAUAACUGCAUAAUCAGUAGCCACCAAAAGAGAGGGAGAAGAGAAAAUCCUACUUUAUCAUCAAGUAAGAAUGGAUAUAAAGUUCUGCAUGAUAAUUGAUCUGUACAGUGUCUUGAGUAUUGCUUUAUAGGAACAUUGGAUCUGAAAUGAUUUUACAUGUGAGUAUUCAUUUACAGGCAUUGGGUCCGAAUGGAUUUUUCAGUGUGGCAGUUUAAGGGCAGUGCAGUUUUGGACAAGGGCCAUUGGUGUUGUCAAUACAGUAUUGCAAUGGAGGUAGGUUGUGCAGGGCUGGUGAAUUUUAUAUUUUAGGCAGUUUGGAGUGGCACUUUGUGAUCCACAGAAGACUCCAUCAUUUUGCCAACUAUAUCAUCUGUUCUGUCCGUGAGGACUAAACCCGCAGUGCAGGUGGUUAAUGAGAACCACCCCGAAAAUCAUACUAGAGUAUUAUACUAAUCCAAGUUAACAAAAAUCUUCAUUGUUCCUGCUUGUUGCCAACUCCCAACAUUACCUUGCUAUUUCCUCUUCCCACACAUAUCAAGUAAUUUUUCGUCUUUGGUUUUACCUCAUGACUACGAAAUAUUUUCGUCUUUGGUUUUACCUCAUGACUACGAAAUCUGAACACUGUUUCGAUCUACCCUGCAGGGUUCUCUGUCUUGGAGUGUUCAUACUUUUAGCCUUGUAGAAUUCUCUCCAUCCAUGCACAGUUGGCACAUGUGGCUCUUGGGUGGUAUCUUCUUCCUGUACAUAAAUCUGGUAUGUACCUGUAAAUAUAACUUUACCCCUGCUGCACCACACCAACUUACCUCAACUAAUGUUCUUGCCUUCUUGGAUCCUUGAUAGAUGGCAUGUGGCACAACUUUGGAACUCAAGAAUGCACUAGUAUGUCUGUGAAGAUAUAACUCCUAUUUGUGCCUUUGAGGGAAGGUCAGUAAAGCCCUGCUGAAAUUCAUGAUCGCUUUAGCUAUGCUAGAUUGUACCCAAUGUGCAACAGUCAAACUUUUAUUGCCUCAUGAGGCCUAGGUUAGAGAGAACUUGCUGCUUUCUUGAUAAGUUGGUAGUCUAGCUUUUGAGCACGCUUAUAAUCAGAAUACAUUGCCAUUCUGAAUUAAAUAACAUAAGAGAGUUUUUAGUUGAUACUUAUAGUCGUAAUGGCAGAGAACACUUGUUGUUAGGUAAUUGAUGGAUAUUGAUUGAGCAAGAGCCUCGAGUUUGCUAAUUUUAUUUUUAUUAUUGCCUGGAGUGGAGUAUGAGUUGAUUUUAUUCUCUAAUUGAUUUGGAAUAUUUUUCCAUCCCACCAAUGCCAAAUCAGACUAUAUCGAGCAUUCAUUAUUGCAUUCUGAAAAAUUAGAGUGUAUUGUAAAUCUGAUGUUUUUCUUCUAGUCUGAAGUUUUUCAAGCGGUCAUUCAUUUUGUGUAACAUAAUUUUGCUAGCCUGUUCAACCAGUGCUUCCAUACUAAUGUCCACAAUGGCAAAACUAUCACGCAUGCAAUAGCAGGAACAUCGCUAGUGCCCUGUGAUGACUGAUGACCUUGCGUUGCAUGGGCCUCUCAAUCAUUCUUUGGUGUGUGUCCAUUAGGGAUGCAAACAGGAUCCCGCGAAAGUCCUGCUUCUAGUUCAAUUCUCAAAUCUCCUAUUCAAAUUCUGAACAAAAUUUUGAAUAGAAGAUUUGAAAAAUGAACUAGAAGCGGGACUUUUGCGGGAUCCUGUUUGCACCCGUAGUGUCCAUUAUCUCCUCAUCCCCUUGGCAUUAUUAUGACUGGAAUAUGAAAACUUCUUUGUACUGGAGUUAAACUCUUAUUUAGCUUUGCAACCUAGAUUUCAUAUUUGCUCAUUUCUUUGAACUACCCUACCAAGCUCCACAUAAGCUUUCCACAAACAGAUGUAGAUAGGGAAACACUUCCAUCCCUGACUAGAAAGGAAUAUUUUGUGUGAGAGAGUAAUUCGAAAUCAUGAUGAUGUAAUUUCACUUAAGACUUGCUCUUGGAAGGUUAACAAGGGAAUAAAAUUGUUGGGUACUCUUGUUUUCUAUUGUUCUUGACAUUGAAGUCGAACAACCUAGUGACUUAGUGUUAAAAAACUUUGAAAGCUAUAUUGUUGAUGCUAUUCACUCCCAUAAAAUGAAACCAAUUCUCUUGGCAAUGAAUAAAGUUGUUUUCUAAGCUUGUGCUCAAUUGUUAGCAUGCUACUUUGAUAAGUUUGUGGAAAGUCUCUCGACCCGAAGUUUAUGUGGGAUUUAAUAAUUGUUUGCACAUAAACACUUGUUUGCAAUCUCCAUGCUAAGCUUUCAGGCAAUUUACAAGCGCGUGGGCAAGUUGAAUCAGGAGCUCAGGUCCUAUAAUGAAAUUUGGUCUGCCAUUUACCGCGGGUUGAGAUUUUUUUUUACUUGAGGUAGUCAACAAAGAGAAGUUUCAGAUAAACUGUAUAUACCUUGUAUUUCUCUUGGUAGCCACUUUCUUUCUUCCCGAGGAUAUGUAAUGAAGAGAAAAUGGGUUGCUUCUGUAGUAGUUUUCCUACAAAUGGUACAAAAGCAGACAAAUUAUUUCAUUCAUUCUUCUCAAUAUGGGCAUCUUGUAAAAAUCUUUUCAAUAUUCGAUCUGACUCAUGUCAUUUGUCGGAAUAAUUCUAAUAAUAAGUUGUCUAGCGUCAUGAUUACGUCUAUUAGUUGCUUAAUAGUUUCUUCCGGGGGAAACGACCGGCCGUCCGAACACCGCUUUGCAUAAUUAAUUCCUCCGUUCGUUUGUUUGUUGGCCUGCUUAAUAAGUUCGUUCUCUUAUUGACAGUUAAUUCUAUAGGGAUCCUCAAUUUUGUGUGCUUAUUGUAUUCAUAGCAAACUUCACCCUGAUUCAUAUUAGUUGUCGAAAUAUUAAAUGUAUGUAGAUGUUUUUAGACAUAGAUACAUUCAUAUUUGGUCAAAUUUGAGACAAUAUGGAUCGGAGGGAGUAUUUAAUUCUUUCUCGAAAUUAAGCUAGCUCAGGCACACAGCUGCAUCGAUCUCCAAAUUAAGCUACUCCCUCCGUUCACAAAUAAGUGUAAGUUUGGGUUUAAAAUUUGUCAAAAAAAAUGUACUUCUUUUUAAAGCACUUUAGACAAAAAAAAGGGUUUUGCUAUUUCUUAGGCGACUGAGAAAUAACUAUUUCUUAGUCGAUGAUAACAACAUUUUGAUUCAAUCAUUGAGAUUCAUGUAAGAUUAAUGUAGGUUCGAUGGAUAAGGAAAUCUCGAUUGGAUGGCUAUGAUUGUUGACUAAGAAAUAACUAUUUCUUAGGCGACUGAGAAAUAGACACUUUCAAAAAAAUUGCUUCUUUCCCAUUACACGGAAAUCAAACCCAAUAAUAUUUUUUCAUGCAUUUAGAUCAUUGGAGAUGGGAGAAUUAAAGAUGAGAGAGAUGGUGGUUGGCACCUUUGUAAUGCAUUUUCUAUUCCACUUUUUAUUUUUAUUUCGAAAUUCCAACAUUUACACAUUUCUAAUGCAUGUACCCAAUGGCGAAGUUCAUCGCUGACACCUAGCUAGGAUGGCCACUUCUCUGGUGGCAGGCCGCUGCGUUUGGCUUGGAGCACUACUACUCCCGAACACUUGUGUAUUUCUCUUAAUUUCACCGGUUAAUAAUAAAGUCGGGCAUGUUUUCUAAAAAAAAAAAAGGUUAAAUGUUGUUUGUCUGGUACAAGACAUGGUUGUUCUGCGUCCUUAACUUUGUGGGAAAACAAAAUAGAUGAAGAAGUAUGGCUGGGCAAUUGAUCGAUGGGUGGUUCGUGUCGUGGUUGUGAUUAGUUAUCCACGGCAUGUUUUAACAAUGGUCGAUCAGGAUGGAUUGUGCUCCUUGCAUCCAUUGGAUGCGGGUUCUCAAUAGGCAAACACACAGGGAAAUUCAGUGCUGAAUGCUGAUGUUCACGACCGAUAAGCUUGCAGAACACGGCGACUAGCAUGGACGAGUGCCAGCCAGGCCUUGGCUGGAUCCUUGGCUUCGAAAUUUCAUUUCCGCGCUAUAAAAUACCCCCACCCCAAAUCACAGCGCGCAUCUCCCUCGACCUCCGCCUACGGCUCCAAAAUCGACCACCAAUCCACCAUGGGUCGCCUCCUUCAAAGCCCCAAAAUAUGUUCAUUGGAUGAACUCCAGGAUUACAUCCAGAAUCACCCGUCUCUGGAGAGCGCCUGUAUCACGAUUGAGGGCGUCCACGUGCGAGACGUGUUCGACAUGCUCCAACUUCUGAACUGCAAGCCGGAUUGGCGUUUCGAGAACAGCGAUUGUAUCCUGGCCGAGGGCAGGAGAUUUGCCAUGUGUUUGGAGAAUCUCGAGUUUCUCCUGGAUCAACUGAUUGAGGGGACUGGUGCGGACGUCCGAGCGGCUGCCAAUGCCCUCUUGCUAGAGGCCGUGAAGUUCAGGAGUCUCAUGAGAGAGAAUCCGGGAUUCCGUUCUCUAGUUCUAUUCGCCGAUUCUAUUGUGAAAGUCGGUCAGCGCUCUGUCCAAGCCGUGUCUGAGGAGGAGGACGCCUCCAGCGCGGUGGAGCCUGAGGACGCGGCUGACGGUCAGCACGGGCACGGGGUUGGCGAUGGGGACGAAGACGAGGAUGGGCCUGACGGUCAGGAAGGGGAUGGCGAGCACGAGGCCGUUCAAAUUGGGUCACUGCUUGGGGCGCUGCGGGAGACCAAGGCUGCGCUGAAGCGGUUGCCGGAGGUGAGAAUCGUCUUCAACAGCGAGACCACUACCAAUCUCUCCUACUCCGACUUCCCUGGGGGUGUCUUCGCCUACCACAUCAACCCCGGCUCGUCUGGCUGCGCCUCAAACACCGAAGAGCCGCCCGCCGCUCCAGAGUCCGCCGCCCCCACCGACAAUCCUGACAAGCCGCCCGCUGCUGCGGAGUCCACCGAGCCACCCGCGGCUGCAGAGUCCGCCGCCCCCACCGACCACCCUGACGAGCCGCCCGCUGCUGCGGAGUCCACCGAGCCACCCGCCGCUGCAGCACUGCCCACCGCCUAGCCGCCAAACGAUCGAGUAAGUUCGCUGGUGUGCAGGAGUCGUCUAAUUCGUCCUCGUGAUUCUGGAAAUUGUGCAGGCGUUGAGGCCUUAGGGUUGGGAAAUUCCGAUCACCUGAGUACUGAUUUGAUUUCGCUGUAUUGGUUAAGAAGUGCAUCUUUGUCAUCUUAAUUCAUGUACAGAGUUGGGCGCCCUGAUUUUGAUUUCGCUGUGUGGCUUAACAAGUGCAGCUUAUGUACAAAGUUGGAUCCCCUGAUUUUGAUUUCACGGUGUUGGUUAAGUGCAUAUUGUAGUUUUAAUUCACUAGUAUUUGAUAAUGCUGUGAUUUGAUAUGAUAGGUCCUUUCAGUUGUGUAGUACUGUAGUGUGUUGCUCUGUUGCUGCCUGUUCUCAAGGUUCUUUUUACAGGAAGUGAAAAACAGAAAGAGAGUUUCAUUAAGCGACUGUUUUAGUAGACUUUGCACAUGUAAGGGAAAGAACAGAUAAAAAGGGACAGAAGGUGUUGAAUCAUAUUGGUUUCUACUUUCUAAUGCUGCAGACAAGUUCCUGAAUUAUGCUUAUUUGAUUAUUUCAGUAGUAAUCCGCGCCUUCUUUGUCAGUUAUAUGUUAUAUUUGUCUUCUCCAAAAGAGUUGAUGGUUGAGAUCAAGCAUAUAUGUGAGUGAAUAGAUCUUGUCUUAGCCAUUCUGAUUCUUUUGGAAGGGGGGUUUGGGAGGAUUUUGGCUGCCAGAAUGCUGGAUAAAACAGGUGUGGCAAUUUUUUUUGUCCAUGCAAUUUAUCCCUUCUUUUAAUGUUGUUUAUUUAUCUCAGGCAAUCUCACAGGUUUAAGUACCAAUAAUAAAUAUUCAGCUUGUUCAGAGGUAGUUUAUUUCCAACAUUUCCUUCAUUAUGCUACUUGGUUGUUGUGGGCUCACCUGGAAACUGAGUUGUGCUUUCUUUCUGGUUGCUGGGAGCCUGGGAAACAAUAUUUUCCAAUAGACAUCUUUGAAAGCAGAGGGGCUGGGGAUUAUUCUGUACCUUCAAACUGAGUCUGUUCAUCCAUUUAUAACAGUAGUAUUGUGGUCAAGCUGUGAUGGAAACAUUGGUUGGAAGGUUUAAAUUCUUGAUUACCGAGGAGCGUUUCUAUGGGAAAAGAAAACAAAAAAACACAUGCUCCAUGAGCCUGUUUGUUUCUUUGUAGCGUUAAGAAAUGAUUUUUUUCCCGAAUUUCUCAGAAUCUGAGCUAACUGUUGACAUCAUGUGUUCAAUGCAUCUAAUUACCCAGCAUCAUUUUAUCUGCAUUGUAUGGCAUACUGCAUUACUGUUACCCUUCAGAUGCAACAAGAGCCAAAGGUUGUGGCUGGCAAUGCAUGUUUCAGUAGUAUUCUUCUUUUAUGUACAUACAUAUAGUGAUGUUGGGUAUCCCAACAGGAUAGUAGAGCAGAGCUUAGCUGUUGGGUUCAUGUCGGAAAGCAAUCAUCUUCUACUUUGUUUUUUGAACUAAAUCAUCUUCUACUUGGUGAGAGAGUUUCGAAAAAAAAAUCUUCUACUUAGUGAGGAUGGAGAGAGAUCGGAAACGACAUCGUCAUGUACAUGGACGCGGCGUUCGUGAACGAGGCCGCUCGGUUCUACGCCGUGUAAUUGUAAACCAUCACAUUUUUUAUUUGAAGGAAAGCCAGCAUGGCAACUUUAUUGAUUUGUAAAAACAUUUACAUCGUUCACAAGUAAAGAACUGAUAAAAUCCUCGAGCGACACUGCUCACAUUCAGAUCAGUGCCCAUACUAAUCUCACGUAACGGUCCCAACGUAUUACCAACAGACCAAAUACUUUCAUCUAUGAUGAGCCAAUGUAGGGAAAAAAACAAAUAGAGAGCACGCGCUUAGCAAUUGGCAUGAGCAAUCUGUGGAGUAAAAAGUGCAAGCACGUGAUUAAACAUUAUACAAAGAUUUAAUGUUUACAUGAUUAAACAUUAAACACCGAUGCUAUCUCGAUGCUCAACAUCAUGGCAUCGUCUGCAAGGCUCGACAACAUCUAAUUUAACUCUAGAGGGAAUUAUUCCCUCAAUGUGUGUUCUAAUAGCCAAACGUGCUCUACAUGCCUCCACGAGGAAUUUCCUCCCCAUACGAGCACAUUGGCCAGGUUUAUCCACGGAACACCCAUCCGGGCUGAAGCUACCUCGAGUAGUAUCCAAUAAAAGGCACUCAAGUGCUGAUGCGUUCUCAACAAUAUGACAUGUCAACUCGACCAAGCUCUUGGCAGAGCUGAAGCCACCAAUCGACACACUCUUUAGCUUGUCAUGGCGAUGUUCUGGCAGCUGUCUCAGAUGUGAGGAAUCCCCAAUGAUCGACUCAUGCUUCAUACUCCGCCGUAUCACCUACAUAGAAAUCCAAGAUGCUCCCAUCAGUGGUUCAAGCAUACAGAAUCGCUAUUGCUUGCAAGCUGAGGCAGUAUAACUUACUUGAAAGAUGAAGGUCUCCAACCAAGGAGAAGCUUCAAGGAAAGGAACUAGAGAAAGAUAAUCGCAGGCUGGUGAAAUAGCCUCAUCUUCAUAUAGAGUAAAGCGCAAGUAUUUGAGGUGGACGAAUUUGCCAGGUAGCAUUGGCGUACUGAUAAUCUGCGGAAACAUGUCUCAGAUUAAUUGUAAUGGACGAAUUUGCCAGGUAGCAUUGGCGUACUGAUAAUAUGCAGAAACAUGUCUCAGAUUAAUUGUAAUGACUACUGAUACAUGCAAAUAGCUAGUCCAUACAAUCAUGUAAACUUCUGGAGCAUACCUCAUUAUUUGAUGCUAUGCUAAGGGUUUCAACAUUUGGCGCCCAGGAUAGAAGCUUGGUCCGAGCAUACCGA